CCUCCGAUUGCUCAGUUGGUAGGGCGGAGGACUGUAGGUACUUAAACUAGUCAUCCUCAGGUUGCUGGUUCGAGCCUGUAUCCGGCUCGAAGGA